CACGUAGGGUGCGAGCGUUGUCCGGAAUUAUUGGGCGUAAAGAGCUCGUAGGCGGUGUGUCGCGUCGGCCGUGAAAACCUGCAGCUUAACCGUGGGCGUGCGGUCGAUACGGGCAUCACUGGAGUUCGGCAGGGGAGACUGGAAUUCCUGGUGUAGCGGUGAAAUGCGCAGAUAUCAGGAAGAACACCCGUGGCGAAGGCGGCUCGCUGGGACGGUACUGACGCUGAGACGCGAAAGCGUGGGGAGCGAACAGG
rnacentral:rRNA from 1 species